rnacentral:rRNA from 1 species
GACGAACGCUGGCGGCGUGCUUAACACAUGCAAGUCGAACGGAAAGGCCCUGCUUUUGUGGGGUGCUCGAGUGGCGAACGGGUGAGUAACACGUGAGUAACCUGCCCUUGACUUUGGGAUAACUUCAGGAAACUGGGGCUAAUACCGGAUAGGAGCUCCUGCUGCAUGGUGGGGGUUGGAAAGUUUCGGCGGUUGGGGAUGGACUCGCGGCUUAUCGGCUUGUUGGUGGGGUAGUGGCUUACCAAGGCUUUGACGGGUAGCCGGCCUGAGAGGGUGACCGGCCACCUUGGGCCUGCGAUACGGCCCAGACUCCUACGGGACGCAGCAGUUGAGAAUAUUGCACAAUGGGCGGAAGCCUGAUGCAGCAACGCCGCGUUCGGGAUGACGUCCUUCGGGUGGUAAACCGCUUUCGCCUGUGACGAAGCGUGAGUGACGGUAAUGGGUAAAGAAGCACCGGCUAACUACGUG